AUGGCAAAGGUGAAGGGAUUUUGCAGGUCUCAUUAUGACCCUGAAUCAACUGAACCUGAAUUAAUGAAAGCAGAGAUCACCACACAGAAUGCAAACUGGCAGACUGCCUUCUUGAAGGGAGAAGCCUCAGGCAGCACAGAACAGCCUGGGAGACACAGCCUUUCCAGCUUAGACUUCUGGCAUCCAGUCCAGGCCAGUAGCAGAGGCUGUUGGGAUUCCGAAGCAGGAAAUGGGGCAAGAAGAUGGAGGAGCUGUCACAGCCCAGGGCCGAGUGAGGACACCAGAGUGCCAGCGUGUAGCACACUCGCUGCUGCCCUGGGGCCAAGGAAGUACAUCCUGUGUGGGCAGUCCUGCCAGCCACAGCAAGCCACCUGGAUUCAUGCCCAGUUAGGGACAUGGGUCUGGAUCACCCCAGCUGUCCUGGCCACCCAAGUCAAGUAAAUGAGAUUUGGGUAAUUUAAAAUCAGAUUUGGAUGCCUACUAAACCAAGAUUCUCUCUCAGGGGAUAGAACUGGGGCUGGAGGCAAGAGACCAAAUGAGGCUUUGUGCCUCCUCUGCAAUGUCCCAUCUUAUUUUUUAUUUUCUCAAGAAAAAUGUAUUCAUGGGUAAGAAUGUAUUCAUACCCAACUACUUGGGUAGUAAUAAAAAGAAACUUAAAAAAAAAAAAAGAU
ensembl:lncRNA